CACGGAUAAUCAAGGUACUUCAUCCAAUGGGCAACGUAAUGGAUACUCAGGAAGGAAUGCUAAGGUCCUUGCUGCCUUACAACAAGUGGACGCUGAUUACCAGGCCGCCAGAUGCAAUGGUCCCAGCUCUUUGACCCCUGGUGUCCCAACAUCUUUCCUUCUCUGGGGGUUCCUUCUCUUCUCUGGUGCCCUCCACUCAAUGGGAAGCCUCUGACAUCUCCCUCAAAAUGGCUGACUGCAAAGGCAGAACUCGCCAGUGGCAUGAAAGAGAGAAAGAGAGAUUUUGACGAAGAGAUUAGAGGAGAUUGCAGCUUUUGCUAAUUUUACCCAGUCCCAGCUUCAUACAAUAAUAAUAAUAAUAAUAAUAAUAAUAAUAAUAAUAAUAAUAAUAACAACAACCCUAACUGGGUGCCGUGCCAAAAGAUCUCAGCCGGCAUUUGGAAACAAUAGACAUUGACAAAAUUACGAUCUGCCAACUGCAAAAGGCCACCCUACUGGGAUCUGCACGCAUCAUCCGAAAAUACAUCACACAGUCCUAGACACUUGGGAAGUGUUCGACUUGUGAUUUUGUGAAACGAAAUCCAGCAUAUCUAUUUUGUUUGCUGUGUUAUAAUAAAAUAAUAAUAAUUUUAUUUCUUACCUGCCUCGAGGUGGGUUACAACAUUGCUAUCCACCUCCUGACUUUGCUAGGUAGAGCUUCAUUACCAUUGAGCUAAUAUUUAGUUACUCUUUUGAUCUAUUGGUUAUAAAGGUACUAGUUCUUGUUGAGGAAUCUAGGCCAGCUAAGCCCAAUAAACUCUUUAUUAGGAAAAUUCCCCAAAAUAUAGCAGAGUGCCUGUCGCACCUCAGAUUAGCUCCACCUUGCUAUACACACCAAACUGCACAUAGGUUGAAGUCUUUUUAGUUUAUUAGAAAAUAGAAGAUAAAAAAGUUCUUUAAAAGCAAAUGUAAAGUUCCAAAAGAACGUUGCAAAAUACAGUCUUAGAGAAUAGUUCCAGAAAUCACAAGAAAUAAACAAAGUCCCAAUAGAACAUGACAAAGUCCCAGGAACAUGAACACAAGAGCUGCAAGAUAAUCCAGGGAAACGAGAGCUUGCUUCUUGGUAGAACGAAAGUUGCUUUGACAAAGGUUUGUCUCCAAACACAUUGCUUUAAUACCCUUUGCAAAGCAUGAAAGCAUUUCUCUGGCCUCUAACCUCCCUCUUGUUAGUGAUUCUCACACUCCUCCGAACCCUGAAUUCCAGACAGUCAGCUCGAUCUAAAGAUUCCGUUUCAUCAAGGCCAGCCUGCUCGUUAGUGUGCUGAGCCUCAUUAUCAGACUGAGAACUGUCCUCCUUUUCCAAGUUCAUUUGCACCUGGCUAGUUUCAGUAUCAUCAACAUCAUUCCCUGCUGUGGGAAAAUGAACUUGCACUCUCUGUUCCUCAUCUUCUACAACAGGGACAUUUUGAACCUGAUUCUGAACUUGAAUCCCAUCAUCCUCAUCAGAGUCAAUCUGAGGUUCCAGCUGAGUCACAACAGUGCCAGAGCAUAUGCUCACUGAAGGGAACAAGGGAAAGGACCUGAUUUAAUUUGAUUAAUAAAUAGCAAUAGUAUGAAAAAUAGGUUUGAUUAAAUAAAUAGUUUCAGUCUUUUUAUGUAGAAGAGAUCAAUAGAAGAGUCUGCCAUGAGAAACAUACAGGAAAAAGGCUCAUAUAAGCAGAGCAAUUGAAAAAACACCACCAAAUAAGACUUGUAAGGAAAGAAGGAUCCAGCAAUAAACAACACAUUGCCUUCCUUAGUUAUGCAAAAGGAAUCA